rnacentral:rRNA from 1 species
UACAGGGGGUGCAAACGUUGCUCGGAAUUAUUGGGCGUAAAGCGCGCGUAGGCGGUCCAUCGCGUCGGGAGUGAAAAGCUGGGGCUUAACCCCAGUCCUGCUUCCGAUACGGGCAGACUAGAGGUAUGCAGGGGAGAACGGAAUUCCUGGUGUAGCGGUGAAAUGCGCAGAUAUCAGGAGGAACACCGGUGGCGAAGGCGGUUCUCUGGGCAUGUCCUGACGCUGAGGAGCGAAAGCGUGGGGAGCGAACAGG